GACGAACGCUGGCGGCGUGCCUAAUACAUGCAAGUAGAACGCUGAAGGAGGAGCUUGCUUCUCUGGAUGAGUUGCGAACGGGUGAGUAACGCGUAGGUAACCUGCCUGGUAGCGGGGGAUAACUAUUGGAAACGAUAGCUAAUACAGCAUAAGAGUAGAUGUUGCAUGACAUUUGCUUAAAAGUUGCAAUUGCAUCACUACCAGAUGGACAUGCGUUGUAUUUGCUAGUUGGUGGGGGAACGGCUCACCAAGGCGACGACUCAUAGCCGACCUGAGAGGGUGAUCGGCCACACUGGGACUGGGACACGGCCCAGACUCCUACGGGGGGCAGCAGUAGGGAAUCUUCGGCAAUGGACGGAAGUCUGACCGAGCAACGCCGCGUGAGUGAAGAAGGUUUUCGGAUCGUAAAGCUCUGUUGUAAGGGAAGAACGAGUGUGAGAGUGGAAAGUUCACACUGUGACGGUAUCUUACCAGAAAGGGACGGCUAACUACGUG
rnacentral:rRNA from 1 species